GACGAACGCUGGCGGCGUGCUUAACACAUGCAAGUCGAACGGAGAGGCCUUUUCGGAGGUACUCGAGUGGCGAACGGGUGAGUAACACGUGGGUGAUCUGCCCUGCACUCUGGGAUAAGCCUGGGAAACUGGGUCUAAUACCGGAUAGGACCGCACUUUAGUGUGUGUGGUGGAAAGUUUUUUCGGUGUAGGAUGAGCCCGCGGCCUAUCAGCUUGUUGGUGGGGUAAUGGCCUACCAAGGCGGCGACGGGUAGCCGGACUGAGAGGUUGGUCGGCCACAUUGGGACUGAGAUACGGCCCAGACGCCUACGGGAGGCAGCAGUGGGGAAUAUUGCACAAUGGGCGCAAGCCUGAUGCAGCGACGCCGCGUGGGGGAUGACGGCCUUCGGGUUGUAAACUCCUUUCGCCAGGGACGAAGCGUUUUGUGACGGUACCUGGAGAAGAAGCACCGGCUAACUACGUG
rnacentral:rRNA from 1 species